GACGAACGCUGGCGGCGUGCUUAACACAUGCCAGUCGAACGGAAAGGCCCUGCUUUUGUGGGGUGCUCGAGUGGCGAACGGGUGAGUAACACGUGAGUAACCUGCCCUUGUCUUUCGGAUAACUUCAGGAAACUCGGGCUAAUACCGGAUAGGAGCUCCUGCUGCAUGGUGGGGGUUGGAAAGUUUCGGCGGUAGGGGAUGGACUCGCGGCUUAUCAGCUUGUUGGGGGGGUAGUGGCUUACCAAGUCUUUGACGGGUAGCCGGCCUUGGAGGUGUGCCGGGGUCAUUGGGACUGAGAUACGGACCAGACGCCUACGGGAGGCAGCGGGGGGGAAUAUGGCGGAGUGGGCGGAAGUGAGAGACAGCGACGCCGGGUUCGGGAUACUCUCCUUUGGGUUGAAAACCGCUGUGGACUUAGCCGAAGCCUGAGUGACGGUACUGGGUAAAGAAGCACCGGCUAACUACGUG
rnacentral:rRNA from 1 species